AUUGAACGCUGGCGGCAUGCUUUACACAUGCAAGUCGAACGGCAGCACGGACUUCGGUCUGGUGGCGAGUGGCGAACGGGUGAGUAAUACAUCGGAACGUGCCCAGUUGUGGGGGAUAACUACUCGAAAGAGUAGCUAAUACCGCAUGAGAACUGAGGUUGAAAGCAGGGGAUCGUGAGAGCUUGCGCAACUGGAGCGGCCGAUGGCGGAUUAGGUAGUUGGUGGGAUAAAAGCUUACCAAGCCGACGAUCUGUAGCUGGUCUGAGAGGACGACCAGCCACACUGGGACUGAGACACGGCCCAGACUCCUACGGGAGGCAGCAGUGGGGAAUUUUGGACAAUGGGCGAAAGCCUGAUCCAGCAAUGCCGCGUGCAGGAUGAAGGCCUUCGGGUUGUAAACUGCUUUUGUACGGAACGAAAGGCUUCGGGCUAAUACCCUGGAGUCAUGACGGUACCGUAAGAAUAAGCACCGGCUAACUACGUGCCAGCAGCCGCAGUAACAC
rnacentral:rRNA from 1 species